rnacentral:rRNA from 1 species
UAAAUGACUCUCGGCAACGGAUAUCUCGGCUCUCGCAUCGAUGAAGAACGUAGCGAAAUGCGAUACUUGGUGUGAAUUGCAGAAUCCCGUGAACCAUCGAGUCUUUGAACGCAAGUUGCGCCCGAAGCCAUUAGGCUGAGGGCACGUCCGCCUGGGUGU